rnacentral:misc_RNA from 1 species
GGGGGGAGGGGGGGCGGCGGUGGUGGCCGUUGCGGCCUUUAGAGCACUAGUCGACUUUACCUUCACCCCUCCCCUUUCAUCAAGGUCCUCUUCUUUUUCUUGAGAGGGCUCAGGGCAGCAGCCAAAGGUGCAACAAGUGGACUUGUGGACAACGGGAGAACCACCAGAGGGCGAGAAGAACUCAAACCCUCAAAUUAUGGCCGGUUCAAAAGCCAAGGUAAAAGCAAGGGGCUUUCAGAGAUCCUGAUCGCAUCUGAGGCUAUCUGAGCCAUGCUUCGCCCAUAAUCCAAAGACCUUAAGAUGAAGGAUCUCUGCUCCAUUUUCAGGACCAAGUGCUUCAGCCAAGAGACACACUUCUC